GGUUGGUUAAUUUGGAGUUAUAAAUCAUACAUGUUUGUCUUUUUAUCCAUGUGCAUGCCAGAAUCAAGGAGAAGCUUAUAACAGUGACAGUCACAUACCUUAAGAUGUUACCUUAAUUGAAGAGUGAUGGUACAAUAUCACCUUGUGGAAGCUUUUCUUUCUAAAUGGGUGUGCAUCUUGUUCGUGGCACCCUUCGUCUCGUUCCAUGGAUUAUCUCUCGAGAUAUGUCUUUCUUGUGCAAAUUGUUAAACUUCAUGUGUCACCUUCUUUAUCUCCAUUCUGAAUUUAUCUCAGGACUUCUCAAAUCGAUAUUGAAAAUUUUCCUGCAGGGGUUAGUCCAACAAAAUAUACCAGUGUCUACACAAGCAGUUUUUAGUUCAAUAACCAAACUAGACUCCAUGUCUAAUCGGAUUAAGGAAGGCUAUUUAACCUAAGCGCCAUGCUUAAUUUAAAUGCCAAUGGAAGUAUGUCGAGUACUUCCAAACCAACACUUACUUGUGAAUAGACAAAGGUAGCAUGACAACAUUAUAGAGAUCUACUCAAGUGGGGAUGAAGUAGAAUGAUUAGUGUUUAACAAAUUGAGCAUGUCUUAAGGGUAGGGAUAACCAACAUAGCAACAUGGCAAAGGAUGUUUUUGUGUAAGGUAUUCCCCCAGCUUGAACAAGUCAAGUUUGGAUGAAUUUAAUUCAAUGUUGCAUGAUGAUUGGUUGGACAUACCUUGUUGUUAUUCUUCGCUCUUUUACGUCAAGCCUGAAUCGUGAAGAUAACGGGAUUGCUUCCCCCAAGCUGAAUGUUGACAUAGUCUUUAAUCUUGAAUCCGCACAACACAGAUGUUCUUCAAUAUUCUUGAGCUUCAAAAUGUCAGUGAUGAUUGCAGCGCUUCCAAGUUGAUGGAGAUAUCUUGAUCAUUGGGGAUUCUCUCUUUAAAUCAUGUUAAACUCAAAUAGACAACAAAACUUGUGGUACCGAUUAAACAUUAGUAGUGGCCACUUAAGCCUUAGUUGUCCAAGAUUUUUAGAUUUUUCUUAAUUCUUUUUCUAAGCAGAGUUUCAACAAGAUCUCUUUCUCAAUAUAUAUAUUUAAUAUUUUUAUGAAGCAAAAGGAAAUGGAACAGGAUGAAUGCAUGUUUAUUUAUUUUUAUUUUUUUUAUUCCACCACGGUGAAUAUCCGUGUGGGCUUUUACACACCACACAAUUUAUUCACAUGGGGUUUUAGUAUUUAAGAUGCAAUGAGUUAUAUAAAAUACUUUUAUUAUAUUUUCUAAUGCAAUAAUAAUGCAGAAAGAUAAAUAUGUUAUGGAGAAUUAAAUAUGCUAAAAACAAAUGCAGAAAACAUAAAUACAAUAAACCUACUAAAGCUAGUGAUACAUUAAAUUAGCAGACAUCAAGAUUAUUAUCAAAAUCUUCACACCAAUUGCUUCCCCGGCAACAGCGCA
rnacentral:lncRNA from 1 species